UGAACGCUGGCGGCGUGCCUAAUACAUGCAAGUCGAGCGAACAGACGAGGAGCUUGCUCCUCUGACGUUAGCGGCGGACGGGUGAGUAACACGUGGAUAACCUACCUAUAAGACUGGGAUAACUUCGGGAAACCGGAGCUAAUACCGGAUAAUAUAUUGAACCGCAUGGUUCAAUAGUGAAAGACGGUUUUGCUGGCACUUAUAGAUGGAUCCGCGCCGCAUUAGCUAGUUGGUAAGGUAACGGCUUACCAAGGCAACGAUGCGUAGCCGACCUGAGAGGGUGAUCGGCCACACUGGAACUGAGACACGGUCCAGACUCCUACGGGAGGCAGCAGUAGGGAAUCUUCCGCAAUGGGCGAAAGCCUGACGGAGCAACGCCGCGUGAGUGAUGAAGGUCUUCGGAUCGUAAAACUCUGUUAUUAGGGAAGAACAAAUGUGUAAGUAACUAUGCACGUCUUGACGGUACCUAAUCAGAAAGCCACGGCUAACUACGUG
rnacentral:rRNA from 1 species